GUACUAAUGAAGAGUCCCAAACUAGGACGAAACGGCUGUCCAAUAC
rnacentral:hammerhead_ribozyme from 1 species